CAUAAACAAAUAUGUGUUUGUUGUUUAUAAUAAAUACUGCUCUUGAUCUCAACAUCUCUUAAACACUGAGACUCUUCUUCUUCACUCUCUUCACCGAAAAAAAAAAAAAAAAAAUUAGGAGGAGAUACCUUUUCGUUCUCUUCUUUAAUGGCGUAAGAUUGUUUUUUUUUUUUUUUUCUCCUUCCUCUAAUUUUUGAAGACCGAAGAAGAUUCAAAGCAGAGCUAGGGUUUAUGUUUGAAGACCCAGAAUUAGGGUUCUCUUUGUCUUCUUAUUGAUGAAUGAAUUAGCAAGCAGGAUAUGGUUUCCAUGGCGUUUCUUCUUCUUCUUCUCCAGCUUUCUCUCAUCUGAUUUGAUCGACCAACUAAAGGAAGAUAUUGGUGCCAAGUGAUGAUCGGAGGAGCCGGAUGAUGGCGUUUCUUCUUUUAAUUUGACCGCCAAGUACAGAAAGAUGGAUUAAAGAAUAAAGAAGAAGAAUACUCGGGUCUGCUUUAUGUCAAAGAGAUGGAUUGGAGAGUGGAGAAGAAGAAGACUGCUUAAGUGAUCCUAAUGGAAGUUAUAAGAAGACACUCUGAAUUCUUAGGCAAUUCGUACCAUUGCUCACAGUUACUCAAUACUUCCCCAUCCAUAAGUGAAACUGAGACUUUUUGGUUUUGUUGUUGCUGAAGAUAUAUAUGGUGCACUUCCUUCCCAUUGAUGUUAAGGAUGAUGCUGAAUUAUGGACCCUAAGGAUGGCAACAAAAUCCUCUUCUUCUUUAUUGGUCUGUGCUACUCAAGUGUGUGUGAGGGAUUAUGACCUUAACCAUGGAAUACUCCUCUUCUUGCUUUGUGCUACUGAAGUUGGAACUCGACAAGGCACUAGAAUUCAGCGCACCACCCUUUGAAAUAAAAGGUACUUGUCAUUGCCUCAUGCUAACAAUUCUCAUCCACAGAUGUGUGUUCGAGUGUUCCAACCAGAUUUUUUGGAGGGUGAAGUAGAUUCAGAACAAAAACGGUUGAUGGAGAGGGUUUUUAAGGUAACAACAUCAAACUAAUUUUUGAAGGCAAGUGGUUCCAUGGCGUUUCUUCUUCUUCAACUUUCUCUCAUCUGGUUUGAUCGACCAACUAAAGGAAGAUAUUGGUGCCAAAUGAUGAUCAGAGGAGCCGGAUGAUGGCGUUUCUUAUUCUGAUUUGACCGACCGCCAAGUACAGGUCAGAGAGAUGGAUUGAAGAAUGAAGAAGAAGAAUACUCAAGUCUGCUUUAUCUCAGAGAGAUGGAUUGAACAGUGAAGAAGAAGAAGACUUAAGCUAACUGCUUAAGCAUACAGAUACAUCUUCAGUGAUCCUAAUGGAAGCUAUAAGAAGACAUUCUGAAUUUUGAGUUACUGUACGUGGGCUCCCAUCAUCUGCUCCAUGGCAACAUUUGAAGGAUCAUAUGAGGAGAGCUGGUGAUUUCUGCUUUAUAUUGCUGAGGUCACUCGAGACAGGUUCUGAGUCUUCCUCCUUUGUCCAUUUCAAAUUCUCCCCAUCCUUAAGUUAUGUUGCAGUCUUACACAACGAUGGUCAAAUCCUAUUCUGGAGAUUGAAUUGGCGUUUGUUUCAGGAGUCCAGAGAGACGACCACAAAUCUAUGAUACUGUUAAUCUUCUGGAGAGUGUUGGGGUUUUAACAAGAGGAGCCAAGAAUCAGUAUACCUGCUGCUGGUCAGAGAUGGAUUGAAGAAUGAAGAAGAAGACUCGUACUGCUUAAGGUCCCCAAGCUUUGUGAAGUGUUUGGUGCCUCCUAUUCUAACUGAGCCUGCGGAAGGUCAAGAACCACCUGUGGCCUAACGUUGAUGCUCAUAGCGGAGUGCUGCCGAACUAUUAUCGUUUAACCGAAAACAAGAUACAAAUUCUACACUGCUUUUUGGCUGUCUCAAGGAGUCUCUUCAUCUGCUCACAGAUACUACACUGCUUUUUGGCUGUCUCAAAGAGUCUCUUCAUCUGCUCACAGCUGAUAUAGGACCGGGCUCUUCGAUUGCCACUAGAGCGGCCAAAGAGUG